UUGUGGGGGGAUUAGUGGCGAACGGGUGAGUAACACGUGAGUAACCUGCCCUUGACUCUGGGAUAAGCCUGGGAAACUGGGUCUAAUACUGGAUAUGACCUUCUGGCGCAUGCCAUGUUGGUGGAAAGCUUUAUUGCGGUUUUGGAUGGACUCGCGGCCUAUCAGCUUGUUGGUGGGGUAAUGGCCUACCAAGGCGACGACGGGUAGCCGGCCUGAGAGGGUGGACGGCCACACUGGGACUGAGACACGGCCCAGACUCCUACGGGAGGCAGCAGUGGGGAAUAUUGCACAAUGGGCGCAAGCCUGAUGCAGCGACGCCGCGUGGGGGAUGAAGGCCUUCGGGUUGUAAACCUCUUUCAGUAGGGAAGAAGCGAAAGUGACGGUACCUGCAGAAGAAGCGCCGGCUAACUACGUGCCAGCAGCCGCGGUAAUACGUAGGGCGCAAGCGUUAUCCGGAAUUAUUGGGCGUAAAGAGCUCGUAGGCGGUUUGUCGCGUCUGCCGUGAAAGUCCGGGGCUUAACUCCGGAUCUGCGGUGGGUACGGGCAGACUAGAGUGAUGUAGGGGAGACUGGAAUUCCUGGUGUAGCGGUGAAAUGCGCAGAUAUCAGGAGGAACACCGAUGGCGA
rnacentral:rRNA from 1 species